AGCUUUGCGCAGUGGCAGUAUCGUAGCCAAUGAGGUUUAUCCGAGGCGCGAUUAUUGCUAAUUGAAAAAGUUCAUGGAAAUGGAAUUAAUGUAAGUUUAUUUUGGUGCAUAAAAACUUUGGAAUCCAUGCAUAG
rfam:Tupaia chinensis contig85858, whole genome shotgun sequence.